rnacentral:misc_RNA from 1 species
GAAAUGCGAUACUUGGUGUGAAUUGCAGAAUCCCGUGAACCAUCGAGUCUUUGAACGCAAGUUGCGCCCCCUGGUAUUCCGGGGGGCAUGCCUGUCCGAGCGUCAUUGCUGCCCUCAAGCACGGCUUGUGUGUUGGGCCCCCGCCCCCCGGCUCCCGGGGGGCGGGCCCGAAAGGCAGCGGCGGCAUCGCGUCCGGUCCUCGAGCGUAUGGGGCUUCGUCACCCGCUCUGUAGGCCCGGCCGGCGCCCGCCGGCGACCCCCCCUCAAUCUUUCCAGGUUGACCUCGGAUCAGGUAGGGAUACCCGCUGAACUUAA